rnacentral:sRNA from 1 species
GACGCCAAGAAAAGAGAGCAAUCAAAUAAGUGUAAUGGAACUAAAAGAUCAAGUUAAAAUCAAUUGAAUGUAAAUUCUCUUUCAAUAUUAUAGGUCUUAUGAUUUAUUUAUGGUUUUUAACUUAAAUUCUAUGAAAGGUUCAAUUUAAAAUUACAAGAUUGUCUACCCUGGUUUCGCUAUUAGACUCAAGCUACCUCCUACAAGAUUAGAACUCUUUCUAACAAGGUUAUUAACGUCAUUCCGAUGUAACCCCAGGGAAGACGAUCUCGUGUUAAAUCAAUAGCUUGAAGACUGUGGGCUUAGCAAAAAAACCACAAAUAUGUCUGAUAAAAUAACUCAGAUUCCCUUAGAGUUUUUGGACCUCGUGUCAACCUUUUGUCGACAACUUGGCCUCUUGAUUGUUACGUCCAUAACGGAGAUCGCUUUAUUUGUUCUAGAGUUUUUUGAAGGACUUGUAUCCUACAUGAUUCGAACGUAUUCUUAGAGGAUGAAACUACUCUAUAUAAACUAUUAUAUAAGAAACUACAGUUGUAUCAAACAUGAUCCGUACGGAUCGUUAGCAAACCAAUACUGUGCUCCUCUUUACUACCAGCUGACACUUAAGCCGUAUGACGACCACCUCUCAUACAAGAGAUUUCUAGCCCGAGCUAAUUGAAUCCCACAUGAUUACUAACUACCAGGGAACUAAUCCUGAACACUACUUGACCACCAUGUCAGAUACUAUGUAAUCUCACCAUAUUAACAAUGGAUACUAAUUGAUCACAAAGUAUUUUACCAUUUAGGAUCUCAACGAAGCUGCAUCACUUACGAGUAAAAAAAAACAAACUUUUAAAUCUGUGUUUAUAAAUAAAAAUGUAAACUAGGCCUUAAAGAAAAACAUUAUUUAAAAUGUCACUAAUACUUACAAGAAGGAAUCUUUUAAUGAAUAUACGUAAUUGUUCGUCCAAUUGUAUUUUUUAAAUUAUUGUUUGCUGUUAUAUUGAUUAAAGCUUUAAAAAUGAAUUAAAUUUUAUACAAAA